AAGGUCCCGCCUUCAGGUCACGUGGGCGCCGCCAGCCGCGCUUCUUUUGCUUCGGGGUUUGAAUUUAACUGCGGUUCUGGGCUGCGAGUUUGUCUCUUUGGGGUUGCGUCCCACCUUAUCCUACGAACGCCUCAAACCCACGUUGUUUCGGGCACCGGAGGUCCGUACCAUGGCCCCUAGCGGAAGAAAGCGGAAGGCCGCGCCGGCAGAGACAGUGGACAAGCGCGAGAAACUGGCGGAGGGCCUGGCGGUGGUCAUUGAGCAUUGCACGAGCUGACGCGUCUACGGGCGCCAUGCUGCUGCCCUGAGCCAGGCUCUGCAGCUGGAGGUCCCAGAGCUGCCUGUGCAGGUGAAUCCAUCCAAACCGCGGAGGGGCAGCUUCGAAGUGACGUUACUGCGCCCGGACAACAGCCGUGCCGAACUCUGGACUGGUAUUAAGAAGGGCCCGCCACGAAAGCUAAAAUUUCCUGAGCCUCAAGAAGUGGUUAAAGAAUUGAAGAAGUACCUUUCAUAAGGGCCGUUGGCAGGAAAUUUCCAUGCUGAGGUUUGCAUCAAGACACAGGGAUGCACAUUGAGCUUUCAUUCCCUGGAGAUGUUGAAGCAUUUAUGAUAGUGCAUGGCCAAACUUAAGCUAUGUACCUGAAGCCAUAGUUUCUUCCUCACCAGAGAUGAUGGUUCAGUUGUGAGACAGCCCUCCAACAAGGCAUUGUAAAAGUGUUUGAAUUGGUUUAAUAAAAGUUAAAGUAUCUGAGA